rnacentral:rRNA from 1 species
ACGAACGCUGGCGGCGUGCUUAACACCUGCAAGUCGAACGGAAAGGCCCUGCUUUUGUGGGGUGCUCGAGAGGCGAACGGGUGAGUAACACGUGAGUAACCUGCCCUUGACUUUGGGAUAACUUCAGGAAACUGGGGCUAAUACCGGAUAGGAGCUCCUGCUGCAUGGUGGGGGUUGGAAAGUUUCGGCGGUUGGGGAUGGACUCGCGGCUUAUCAGCUUGUUGGUGGGGUAGUGGCUUACCAAGGCUUUGACGGGUAGCCGGCCUGAGAGGGUGACCGGCCACAUUGGGACUGAGAUACGGCCCAGACUCCUACGGGAGGCAGCAGUGGGGAAUAUUGCACAAUGGGCGGAAGCCUGAUGCAGCAACGCCGCGUGCGGGAUGACGGCCUUCGGGUUGUAAACCGCUUUCGCCUGUGACGAAGCGUGAGUGACGGUAAUGGGUAAAGAAGCACCGGCUAACUACGUG